GAUGAACGCUAGCGGCAGGCCUAACACAUGCAAGUCGAGGGGUAGCAGGAUUAAGCUUGCUUAAUUGCUGACGACCGGCGCACGGGUGCGUAACGCGUAUGCAACCUACCUUAUACUGGGGUAUAGCCCGGAGAAAUUCGGAUUAAUCCCCCAUAGUACUAAUGAAUCGCAUGGUUUACUAGUUAAAGCAUUGCGGUAUAAGAUGGGCAUGCGUCCUAUUAGCUAGAUGGUGAGGUAACGGCUCACCAUGGCUACGAUAGGUAGGGGGCCUGGGAGGGUGGUACCCCACACUGGUACUGAGACACGGACCAGACUCCUACGGGAGGCAGCAGUGAGGAAUAUUGGUCAAUGGGCGCAAGCCUGAACCAGCCGUGCCGCGUGCAGGAAGAAUGCCCUAUGGGUUGUAAACUGCUUUUAUUUGGGAAUAAACCUCUUUACGUGUAGAGAGCUGAAGGUACCAAAUGAAUAAGCACCGGCUAACUCCGUGCCAGCCGCCGCGGUAA
rnacentral:rRNA from 1 species